UGCGUAGGCGGUUCUUUGUGUCCGCUGUGAAAUCCCCGGGCUUAACCUGGGAAUGGCAGUGGAAACUAGAGGACUUGAAUCCGGCAGAGGGGGGUGGAAUGCCACGUGUAGCAGUGAAAUGCGUAGAUAUGUGGCGGAACACCGAUGGCGAAGGCAGCCCCCUGGGCUGAGAUUGACGCUCAGGCACGAAAGCGUGGGGAGCAAACAGGAUUAGAUACCCUGGUAGUCCACGCCCUAAACGAUGUCAACUAGGUGUUGGGGAAGCGAUUUCCUAGUACCGCAGCUAACGCGUGAAGUUGACCGCCUGGGGAGUACGGUCGCAAGAUUAAA
rnacentral:rRNA from 1 species